GAGUUUGAUCUUGGCUCAGGACGAACGCUGGCGGCGUGCUUAACACAUGCAAGUCGAACGGAGCACCCCUGAAUGAGGUUUCGGCCAAAGGAAGGGAAUGCUUAGUGGCGGACUGGUGAGUAACGCGUGAGGAACCUGCCUUUCAGAGGGGGACAACAGUUGGAAACGACUGCUAAUACCGCAUGACACAUGAAUGGGGCAUCCCAUUGAUGUCAAAGAUUUAUCGCUGAAAGAUGGCCUCGCGUCCCAUUAGCUAGUAGGCGGGUAACGGCCCACCUAGGCGACGAUGGGUAGCCGGACUGAGAGGUUGACCGGCCACAUUGGGACUGAGAUACGGCCCAGACUCCUACGGGAGGCAGCAGU
rnacentral:rRNA from 1 species